AUGCUGGCGAAACAGUGUUGGAGAUUAAUUGACAACUAUGGCUCCUUAUGUGCUUGAGUAUUACGAGCCAAGUAUUACCCCACGGGAGAUAUACUAAACAGUCAACUAAAGAAGGGUUCGUCCUAUGUGUGGCAGAGUAUCUGGUCACGAAUUCAAACUUUCAAGCAUGGCUGUAUUUGGAGAGUGGGUAACAGAAACAAGAUUGAUAUAUGGGAUGAUUGCUGGAUCCCAAACAGUGCAUCAAAGAAAAUCCUUAAAGUCCGUGGAAACCGAGUUCUCACAAAGGUGAACGAGCUCAUAGACCCAAUUACGGGAGAAUGGGAUGAGCAACUGAUCCGGGACAAUUUCUGGCACAUCGACGCAGAACGGAUUCUGCAAAUCCCAUUAUUUCAUGUGGAAACUGAAGACUGUGUGGCAUGGCAUCUAACAAAAAGUGGAGUUUUUUCAGUACGCUCUGCUUACUAUAAACAGUGGGAGAUGUGCUAUGCAACACAGGACAGCAGCUUGGUCCGAUCAUCUAUGGCACCGCAUCCAGUUUGGAAAAACUUGUGGAAUUUGAAGGUGCCAGCGAAAAUAAAAAUUCACAUCUGGAGAUGCCUACACAACACAAUACCAUGCCGGAGUUUGCUAAUGAACCGUCAUGUGGGGAAUUUAUCCUGCUGUCCGUUUUGUUCAGAAGGAGCAGAAGAUCUCGCGCAUAUGCUGUUUAGAUGUGUUAGAUCACAAGAAGUGUGGAGAACUCUGGGAGUCGCAGAU
rnacentral:rRNA from 1 species